CGAGAGUCGGCUUCCUUACAUCCGUUGUUCCUUAGUAGCUUAGUGGUAGAGCGGUCGGCUGUUAACUGAUUGGUCAUAGGUUCAAAUCCUACUUGGGGAGAAUUUAGAGUUCUCGCUAAUCUGACCUAGCG
rnacentral:tRNA from 1 species